rnacentral:rRNA from 1 species
AUUGAACGGUGGCGGCAGGCCUAACACAUGCAAGUCGAGCGGAUGAAGGGAGCUUGCUCCUGGAUUCAGCGGCGGACGGGUGAGUAAUGCCUAGGAAUCUGCCUGGUAGUGGGGGAUAACGUCCGGAAACGGGCGCUAAUACCGCAUACGUCCUGAGGGAGAAAGUGGGGGAUCUUCGGACCUCACGCUAUCAGAUGAGCCUAGGUCGGAUUAGCUAGUUGGUGGGGUAAAGGCCUACCAAGGCGACGAUCCGUAACUGGUCUGAGAGGAUGAUCAGUCACACUGGAACUGAGACACGGUCCAGACUCCUACGGGAGGCAGCAGUGGGGAAUAUUGGACAAUGGGCGAAAGCCUGAUCCAGCCAUGCCGCGUGUGUGAAGAAGGUCUUCGGAUUGUAAAGCACUUUAAGUUGGGAGGAAGGGCAGUAAGUUAAUACCUUGCUGUUUCGACGUUACCAACAGAAUAAGCACCGGCUAACUUCGU